AAUUUCUGCAAAAAGUCUGCUAUCAUCAAGACUCCCACAGACAAAAUAUUAGGUAAAGGAAAGAUUUAUUACGGAGUUGGUGCGCUCCGGUGCAAUUGUAGUGUGAAGUGGAGAGGAAUUGUGUCUGGGAGGUUAACAGGGAAUGGGGAGAGUUCAGCCUGAAAGAAGGCAAAACCAACAAAAAUGACUGUGAAUCUUCCACCUCAGUCUCAAUUUGCAGAAUGGGUAAUCAGAAAAAUCUUCUACUUCCCAUUUCAGUAGAUAGGGAUUCUCUGAGACAAAGGAUAUGAAUAGAAAAUUUUAAUUUAGAUGAGAUUGCUUGAAUCAACAUAACUGCACUUUAGAAAACCAUGAAUAUGUUUUACAACUCAAAACUACCUCUGGACAGAUGUAGUAUUUUAGCCACACAUAAUAAGAUUUUACAGCAAGUAAUGUUUUGUGUAUCUUAGAAUGUCCAUUCAGAUGGCAGUCUAAAUAAUUGUGUGCUCUGUGGUUUAACAAAAGAGCCAUGAGGCAUUAUACCUGGCUGUUUAAAAUUGCAUAUAGCAUAUAUUAGGUAAUGCAUGUUAUAAAAAUUCAUGGGUUUAUAUAUAUAACACACGUAACACACAGCAUUGCAUAAUACAUCUUAUGUUAUACCUAGGUCAAUCUGAAAGUAAUGCCUCCUAUUUAUUUCCAUGGAAACUAUGACAGAUACAAAGAGCCCUGUAACACUGUUUGACAGAGCAGAUCCUCAGCUACAAAACGCUAUUUUGCAACACAGUCACCACCAUUAGCUAUGCAUUCUCACCAGAAUAACAAGAUAAACAAGAGAAUAAUAGAUAAACAAGAGAAUGCAUUCUACACUCAUAAAAAUCUGCACCAGCAGAGGUGAACGCUGUCACUGCCGCCACAGCUGAAAUGCACCACACACUGCCUCACUGUGUUCACAUCCACUGUUAGGUCUCCAGAAAAGUUCAGAAAGUGUCAAUGAAUGUCAAUGGGUACCAUUUUUUCCACAUGGAGAGGUUCAGCGCCACCCCUUUGCUUCAUCCGCACUUCCACGUCAGACUCCAUUGUGUCAGGCUGCCCCUCCGAUGCCAUCUGUCACACAGCAAUAACAUGUAACAGGAUAUUGGUGGGAAAGUUCACCCUCUACUGCCAUAACACCAAUAGCCACCUCUGUCACUGUGGGCCAAUAUGAUAAAAUAGGAGGCACUACUUUUGGAGCAGACCUUGUACAUUAUACUAUAUGUUAUAUUAUUUACCGAGAACUCUAUGUCAGGGACACAGUCUUUUUUGAUAGUAUCAAGACUGCUUGUCCUUUAUUAAAUAAAAAAAAUAAUAUAUUAAAGAUCUUCGAAUGAGCCAAAGCCUCUUGAAUUAGGACUGUAAUUUCAUGUCAGAAGGCUUCUUAAAACAAUUUUUAUUUGAAAAAUGCAAGGAUAAAGAAAAUAGAUUUAAUGGCCUGUAGCUUGUUUAUAUUUAAAAGUAAACAAACAAUUUUUGAUACUUCCUUUUUAGCCUACUCCUAGAUGCUCAUCAGUAAUCCCAAGAGCUCCACGAGCGCUGAUCACCACUCACAUGUCUGACCCGUAUGCACUUUACUGUACCAUCAUUAAUUUUUCUAGGCGUAUCAUCUUGAUCUCAGGUGGCCAUUAAUCCAGAAGUUACUGAUGUGACAUCAUAAGAACUGAAACUCGCUCUUUGAGCUAGCAUGGCGCUCUUAAUCUUCUGGCUGACAUGCAUUGCUCUGAACUUGUUUCUCCAAGAGAUGAUGGCCUAUCUUGCGAGUCCAUACAUUUGGAUAUAUAAUUGCUGGCUUGUCAGUAUAAUGGGCCAGGAUAUUGGAAUUUGUGUUACUAAUCAUUUAAGGCAAUAGGUAGGAUAAUAAUUCAUUGUGGGGACAGUAAAAGUCAUCACAAAAUAUAUUAAUUACCAGAAGUGGAUGACAGUCAGAGCUGGUAGGAAUAUUUUAUUCCAUUUGUGUUAUGGCAGAUAUAUAUAUAUAAUCACAGAGAAAUCUCUUGCCUGCCUCAGCCUGCAGACUCCUAUUCACAGCACUAUAGAGUGUUGUAUAAUGCAGACCACAUUUUUAGACAAAUAAUCGUUCACUCAUAUCAACAAAGCCAUAGAGAUAUAAAAAUCCAAAAACAGCAAAUAUCUUUCUUAUAGCCACUAGCAACUGACACAGGUAGCAUCUUUAAUUUUGUGACAUCUAUAUCUGAUUUACAGGAAAUUAUCUCUUCUGAGCAUGCAACACUCCACACAGUAUCCAUGCCCACAGUUCAUGAUUAGUUCUGCAGUUCAUAGAACUCCACAGGAAGAUUGGUUUCCUAUGAAAAUGUAUCCUUUGUUCCUUUAUUCCAGCAUCACUAAUGCAAUAGCCCAAUUCAGCCUCUAAAACACUUGCUGCUGCCUCCUCCUUAUCACCCCAAAGAAAAAGCUUGUGUGUGUGUUAGCCAGCCAGCCCUGCGCAUAUGCUGAUGGGUCAGCUGCUACCAUCAAGGAGAGUGUUGGAUGGCUGAGUUAUACCUGCCUCUCCUUCUGCAGCAACACAGACCUGUCUAACCUCCUCCCAGGUAUCUCCCCAAAAAAUAGGACCAGCCAAAGAUUUCAUAACCUACGGCAGAGAGUUGGAGAGACAGUUGCUGUGAUCACGUAAAUCACAUUUCCCUCAAAAAUCACAGCAGUAGUUUCACGAAAGUGGAAAAAAAAGGAACGAAUAUUGUCAUAAAAUGACUUGGGUUGGAAGGGACCUCAAGGAUCAUCAAGUUCCAACCCCCCUGCCACAGGCAGGGCCACCAACCUCCCCAUUUAAUACUAGACCAGGCUGUUCUUUCAAAUGCUGUACUUCCAAAACCACCCAUAACAAUAUGCCUGACUAAUAACUUCAGUUGAAUGUUCCAUUAAUUUCCUUUUUCCAGCUGACCUUCAGCCUCAGCAUAACUGUCAAUUGAAAACUUUUGCUAAUGGCCCUGUUCUUUUAUAUGCCAGUCGUUGAUUAAGAGAUCAAAGACACUGAUUUCAAAACCAGUCAUUACACACAGCUCUUCAACUUACUAACAAGACUUCCAGGGACAGCUUGGCAAUACCUGAUGCAAUAUGGACGCUAGCUACUCUCAGUCUGUUGAUCCCUUACAGAAGUUGGCAGGGUUGAAUUUCCUUAUUAUUCAUCAGGUACAGAAUUUGCCCUGCUAACUAAGACACCUACAGAGCUUCCUCUAUUCUGUUUAUCAAAAUGAAGACCCAGAGGUCUGCUUAGAGUGAAUAAAUGCUCUCAGAGGGAAAAAUACAAUUUUCUAAUGUAAAAGAAUGCACUGAAACCAUUAGUUUCAAGACAUCAAAAUAGAUAAAUCUGAAGAAGUAUGUACAUUCUUUAACAAUGAAUAUGGUCAACUUCUGGCAUGCGGUGAGCAAGUUUUGGGUUUACUCAGUAUGUGUGCUUAGAUGGAGGACCAGUAACUUUGACAUGGGAUGAAAUUUGGUCAGGGACGCCAUGCUAGGCUCAGAAUAAAGAUUGCUUCAGUAAUAACUUUGAGUCCACAUCACUGAAAAUGGCAUUUUGGAUAAUCAGGUGGAUCUUUCUGACUUUAAAAGUCAUUGAGUAAGAAAUUAAAUGCUAAGUUAAAGACUUCUGAAAUCAAUAUACGUGGUGUAACUGACAAACCUUGAGUUAUUAGUUAUUAGGAGCCAGCAACACACACAGUUACUGAGUUACAAUAGCACAUCUUUCUCUCAUUCUCCCUUCUUGUUCAGGUAUCAUUUACAGGGAUUCAUAAGCUGACAAACAUAUUAAAAGCCUAAAGUUUUGGUCACAUUAUCCACAGAUAGGCUCUCACAAAGGUCAGAGUGAACACUGCAAGAAUGCCAAUAUAAGAACAUAUGUUCCUGUUGGAAUAAAUCACAAUGCUCGUAACAGCAAUAAAAAUGCAGCGAUUAGAAAUUGUGGCAUAAAACAGAGUCAUAUUUUUUUUUUCAUGACAGCAAGGCUAGGAAUAUUUGAGCCCAAACUGAUGAAAACAAUUCUUUGUUUAAAUAGGAAGGAAGCUUGGGAAAAAAAUCAAGGAAAGCUGAAUAUGCUGUGCUUAGACAGAGAGGGUUAUGAGCUGCUAAUGACAAUGUAUUAUUUUGAGUGAGGAGAGGAAAGGGAAAACAGUGACAUAGCAAAGUGAUGUUUUAACAAUAACACUUUGGAAGUCUUAUGAAUAGACUCCUGACCUUUGCUGCAAAACACAAGGGCACCAGGGCCCUACAGAGGUUCACAUUUAUUUCGCAAAAAUAAACAGCAUGAAGGCAUUGUUGUAACCAAGCAGAGCAAACUUACACGUAAGCAUUAGCACUUCAGUGUGGCACUUCAGGCAAAGGCAGUGCCUCAGAACAGAAAAAAAAUGAAGCACAAUGGAUGGGAAGUAUUAGGAGGGAGCUUCAUGCAGUCUUUCCUUAUUCUUCUCAUUUCAGUUAACAAGUUUUCCAUGUUUUUGGCACAGUGAAGGACUGGGCUGCAGUAUAACGUUUUCUUAACAUGGCUUACGUGCUGCAGGUUUUUCACACCACGUCUGUCCUGCUCUGACACAGCACACGGUGUUUGUCUAAACAAGGAGGGGAGCAGUUUGAUAGUGGAAUUGGAUGGUGGAAAUAAUGAGCCAUAUUUCCGCAUGCAUGUAAACAUAUCAGUCAUCAGCACACCACUGCCACUGACUUCAGCUAGACCAGUGCCAGUAGAAUACACAAGUGUCUUCUUCUCCAUUUUAUAUUCAGGCAGUAGAAUCAUAGAAUCAUAGCUUCAUAGAAUGGCUUGUGUUGGAAGGGACUUCAAACAUAACCUAGCUCCCCCCCCCAAACACACACCAUGGGCAAAGUUGCCAACCAGGCACUAGAUCAGGUUGCCCAGGGCCCAGUAGUAUCCUGCAGAGUCUCUUUACUUGCAGCCUGUGUUUGCUCCUCUCUGGUAGUCCACAGCACAUACUCUGGUGUGAACUGUACAGUCCCCAGGCUAUUGCAAAGGUCUGGAUUGUCAAGGCGAGUGAAACUAAGAGAGAUCUUUGUGAUCAGCAAAUGCUGAGGCUACACAUUACAUACUACCAUGCCCUCUAAAAUAAACAAGGGGCCAGAGGGGAAGGGUUUGUUGAAAACAGCCCAUUUGUUCCAACUGCGGCCUACGACCAGUGCUGGAGAGCAGCAAGGCAAAAGCAUCCCUCAAAGCAGCACAGAGAGCUCAUUGUGAGGAGCCAGCAAGUGACUCAGAGCACUGGAAUGGAAGAUGGCACCUCUCACCUCCAGGUCACCCAUCUCCAUCCAUUUGCAGUUAGUGGGGGCUAGAAGUUAUUGCCAUCAGAGGGGCAUUCAGUGAAAUGAGCUGGUUGUCUGAGGACAGCUGCCCAGCCACACAGACCAGGCCGAUAUUAUUGCCCAACACAUUCUGCUCUCCCAGGCUCUAGCCAUGGCCGUUCAAUCAUCCUCUGAAUGGCCUGAAGCUCCAAGGGCCACCAGGCACACACUGCUGCCUUCUGUCUCACUCAGUGACUGGCAUGGUCACCCACUGAGAAAUAGACAAAGGCCUUCUCAUGUUCCCUUUGUUCCUCAGUUCUUUCUUCCCUCAGAAAGAGCUGCAAGAAAUGUUGUCCAUACUUUUCUGUAAUUCCUCCACUUCUGCUGAGCCCAGGCAUUGAAAAGUGAUUGACCACGCCACAGAAAUCAAACUUUCAGAUGCGAGCGCUCUCAUGGAUCCACAAGCACAGCCUUCAAGGAACAUUUCAAGCACUCUCAUGCUUUCUUCAUAAAAAAUAGGAGCUGGCAACAUUGCCCCAGCGCUGAUUUAGCACAGUGCUGCUCACAUUCCAGGCACAGUGCAAAUGUCAGUAGCUGAUUCCCAGUGGAGCUCAGAGGAGGUUGGUGGGAUGGAGAAUCAACUGCAAUGCACUUGGUUUGGGGCCAGAGAGACUAAGAUUGGGCCCUUGUCUAUUGCAAGUCUCACAAAGAGCCCUGUAAAGAAAUUAAGACUCUCUGGUGCAAACUCAGCAGAGCUGUGGCCUCAGUUGCUUCUCAGCCCUCCCAGCAGAGGCUGUCGGAGGUUAAAGCUUUGUGCUCUCCAGGAGAGCAUAGAUCCCUUCAUCAUUGCACAAGAAAUAUGUCACACUUCUUGUUUUGACUCUGAAAGUUAAUUUUCUCCUUCGUGCCAUCAUCCACCCAGCAAGAGGAUUCAUGUAUAAUAUUAAGGCAAAGAAGGCUGUGUCUUCAGGACAGGAAUUUCCUGUAUUUACGGACAUGCCAUACAAUUUACUUGCCCAUUAUCUGCUUUCCCCAAGUCGUCGUGCUUCCAUCACUUCCCGGCUGCCCAGUGUUGCUGGCCAGCAGCCAGGGCCACAGCAACUGGCUAUAUCAAUCACUUCAGCAGCUUAAUCAAACUCUUCCUCUGUGUUUUCCCCCUAUAUAAAGGAAAUGGCCUGCCGUUCUCACAGUUUGCUGGAAGCUUGAUCUGGCUGACACGGGAGCAUCUCAAGCAGGCAAAAGAUUUUACCUCUCUUUUGAAUCCACAUACAGGCCUAGAAAUAUGUUUUAGGUACUGGACCCUAGGAAUGGAUGUCAUAGUUUAAAACAUAGUCCAUGCAGGGCUAAGGCCUUGGAAAUUUACUUUCAUAAUAUGCAACACCCGGCAGCCUAAAGCAGACUGGAAAGAAAUAUGUGAUCCCAGAAGAAAUUUUCUGAUGCCCUGUGAGAGGGGUCAGUGCAAAGGGAAGAUUCUCCACACAGACUACAAAUGUGCUUGGAUAUCUGUCAUAGCUUCGUGAUGCAGAUCUUCCUCCUCACAGAGGAGCUGCCGCUAUUCGCUUUAACCUUCCUGUGCUCAGCCAAGCUCAGCACCAUUCAGAAGAACACCUCUUAGUGCGUGAGGCAAAGUUUGGCACUAUGUCCUAAGUGAGCAUACACUGUAUUGGGUGAAUCAAAAGAAAAAAAAAGACAAUUUUUAACCCUGCUGAAACUGGGCCUGCUUGAAGAUAGGAAUGCAAGACUCGCAGGAUCAGAAAUAGCUUGUAUCAGCAGCAAACCUGCUGCUGUAACCCGCAAAGGACUGAGUGCUAAUGGGCUCUGGUCUCCACUCCCAGCAUUGUGGAUGCAUUUGCUAAUUGGAGAAGAUAAUGGAAACAAACAUUUGAGGCGUUAUAUGGAAUUUCUUAUAGAUUGCAUUCACCAAGUGAAGUGUCUACAGUGAAAUUUAAGCCUUGUGUCUGAGCCUCAGUCAAUAAUGGGCCUUGUAUCUGUCACUAUAUUACACAUGAAAUAGGCAUUAAUGAGUGUUUAUGUGCUCUCUAAAUGCUUGAACAAGCAUCAUCAGAACCAAAGUUGUUAGAACCAGGGAUUUUUCAGUGCAGCAUACCGUUGAAAAUAAUUAUUUCAGAGUGAACCAAGACUGAAUAUUUUUUACUGGCCUUUUUAAUAAAUGCAAAGGACAAUAUUCCCAAGGGACUUACGUGAUGCUCCAAAUGUUGAGGUAUCGGUAAUGCCAUUUUCCUGGGAUCCAGGAGACUUUGGUUUAAUUCUUUCUGCUCCCUGACAGCUGAACUGGGGUAAUCAAUCCCUGGGGAUGUGAACAAAACAAACAGAAAAAAUAACUUCAGACCUGGGGUUUAAAUCUUUCUUCUCACCUAGUUUGACCUGAAUUGUUUUGUAUUUUGUGACCCACUUAGUGAGUGCAAUAAUAGAUCUUUUUCAUUGUACCAGAACUGCGUGCAGCUAUAUUCCUGUUUCUAAUAAAAUAAAGAUUUAAAUACAGCAGAUUAUUUUCUCCACCCUGUCUGACAUGAGCUGUAAUCAGAUUUUUUUCUCUCCCUUUCAUGAACACCAUCUGUUUGUGACCAUUAAAAUCCAUUCUCUAUGCUGAAGAGAUGGGAAUUCAGAGGGAUGUGUUCGAGCCACUGUCCAAACAGUACUGUCAUUCCUAAGGGAUCCAUUACAGCCUGACACACCCAAGUAUUUAUGAGCCAUAAACUGCCUGCCUAAAAUGGCGAUUCAUCACCGUGCAUGGGAGACCCUGACAAUGACAGAGUGUGUUGUAGCUGCGAGAGAAGGGGAGGAGGGGAAGGGGCUUUAGGAGGAUUUUUUGAACCAGCAGCGUUAUAUAGCAUCAGUUGUGGGGUUUUUUUUUUGUUUUUUGCUUUUGUGUUUUUUUUUUUUUUCCCACUAUGGCACCUCGUUUCCAAGCCAUUUGCUUUGACAGUUCUUCACAGCCAACGUUAAAUUAACAGAUGUCUUGGAACCGGACCCCAAACAAGACAGCUACAAGGUCACCGCUUUCUGGCAUCGUCGUCUGCUCUGGGGUCGGGGCUGGCUCAGUGUGCACACAGCAUCCAGCCGCCUUCCCCGCUGCAGGGCUCACCUCGGGGCUGGCUGGGGGACGGGGUGCAGCUCCCACACCAGCGUGACCGAGUGCCCGGCUCUCCGCAUCCAGGUGCAAUCCCAGCAAAAGGCCGCACGCUUCACAUUCCUACUAACUUCUUUUUCUUUUUUGCCUGCUAUUUCUGAGGCUAUUUUCGACCGGGGUGUAAUACAGAUAGAUAAACUCAAGACUAUUUGCUCCAUAAGGCAGCACAGUUCUCACACUCGCAUAAGGAACUGCGAAAGAGAACAAAGGAUAGGAAGUACAAAUGCUGGCAAGUGCAAAGAUGGUCUUCUAUAAAAAUUGCCUCCGAACACUUCCGAAGCUUUCUGAAUUGAUUACCGUAAAAUUUAGAUGGAAUUUGUGUACCAACACCCCAAAAAUCACUACCACUGUAGGAGCUGUCUCAUUCUUAGACUUACCAGCCUAAUAUUCUAGCCGUGCAUCUCAAUGUCUGCCCCCAUCUGGAGAUUCACAAACAAGGCUCAUGCUUCUUAAGUUCCCUGGGAGUCCCAGGUUUACGUGCAUGAACAGAGAACACCAGCACACACCAACAGCAUUCUGUUACAUGGAUGGCACCACAAUCAGACUUCUGUUUCAUUAAAAAAAAAGAGAGAGAGAGAGAGAGAGAGAGAGGGAAAAAUAAGAACAAGCUGGAUCAGGAAUUCUGAUUUCUUCAUUUUAAUAACCACUAUGCAUUGAAUAACCAAAGACAGGUAGACACCUGGGACUGAAACUGUGCUCCCUGUCCUGUGCUAAGCGCUUUCAUGCAGAGCCUGAGCCACAAAGCCUGUUCCCGCGUGCUCCUCUUGUCUGAGCCUUCAGCUGCCUUUCCUACAGUGGAACAGUCUCACCAUUGUCCCCAGCCUCCCAUCAACAGCAUGGCUAUUCCCCGGGGGCUGCAGCUCCCCAUUUUCCGGGCAGAUCCUCCCAAGCAAGUGGGGAGAUGUGCAACGAAACAAACAAACAAACAAACAAACAAACAAAAAACACCAUUACUUCUGGUUGCUUUGAAAGCAAAUGCAAAACCUUAACACCUACAGCCAGUGGGAUGACUGAAAGCCCCUGCUGAGUCCUGACUUGGUCUAAGCAUCCUGCAGGGGGUGUGACCUCGCAAGAGGAGUGGUCAGCUCACACUGUCCAUCAGCAAACUUCCAGCUGCCUUCACCGCUAAGGAAGGCAUUCACCCUGCAAGGCUGCCCUAGCACCUGGGCGGGGCCUCGCUACACAGCCUCUCGCGGGCAGCAACGACCUCGUUCGUGCACGGAGGCCCCAGGCAUUAAACAGCCCAGGGGCUGCACGAAGCAGGCGCCCCCUGCUGGCCGGCGGCCGUCAUGCAGGCAAGUUACUCACGGACCACUGCUAGCCGGAGCGGGGAAGCUGUUUUCCGUGCUUCGCGUGACAAGGACACCAUUUUAGUGAAACCUUCCCCUGAAUUACCCAGACAAUAGCACUGGGAUCCACCAAAGCUGCCCAGCAGUCCUGUGUUUACUUGGCAUCCUCCUCUUGUUUGUGCCCAGCCCAAUCCUCACCUGCGUGAGGAGGUAUUUACUCACGUGGUUCUGGAGAGGGAGUGAAUAUUAUCGCUGGUGGCCUUCAGAGGAAGCGCAUGUUAAGAUCUGAGCAGAAAAUACACGAAGAGACAGCAGUCGUACGUUACAGGUUGUUUUCCAAGGGUGGCGUUUUCCAGCAAGCGUUGACUUGUGGUACCAAUAAGAAGCUAAGAUGGGUGUGAAAAAAACCUGAUUGAUGCGAAUAAAACACAGACAACAACACGGUUGCCCAAACUUAAAAGCUUC
ensembl:lncRNA